rnacentral:rRNA from 1 species
AAUUUAAGCAUAUUAUUAAGCGGAGGAAGAGAAACUAACUAGGAUUCCCCCAGUAAGGGCGACUGAAGCGGGAAGAGCUCAGGAUGUGAAUCGGCGCCCAGUGCGCCGAAUUGUGGUCUGUAGACGGUGACGUUACCCCCCGCCGGGCCAAGUCCCUUGGAACAGGGCAGCGUAGAGGGUGAGACUCCCGUAUGCCCGGUGGGAUAAGUCUCCUGUCAAAGAGUCGAGUUGUUUGGGAUUGCAGCUCAAAGCGGGUGGUAAAUUCCAUCUAAAGCUAAAUACCGGUGGGAGACCGAUAGCGUACAAGUACCGUGAGGGAAAGAUGCAAAGAACUUUGAAAAGAGAGUUAAAGAGUACCUGAAAUUGCUGAAAGGGAAGCGAAGGAAACCAGUGCCAGCUUGGUCAUACUUCCCUGGCCGCUCGCGGCUUGGGCGCUGUGGCCGGCGUCUGUUUGGUUUGGUUACGGCUGGCGGAAGAGCUGCGGGGGACUUUGACCCACCGCGUCGCUAGCGCCGGCCCUGACUGAGCCAGACGAAAUGGUUUUCUUUACCCCGUCUUGAAACACGGACCAAGGAGUCUAACAUAUGUGCGAGUACAGGGGUGACAAACCCCCGUGCGCAAUGAAAGUGACAGUGGUUGGAAUAGCAAUUGCACAAUCCGCCGGCCUCAAUCCCACGGGAGAACGGUCUGAGUGUGAGCACACAUGUUGGGACCCGAAAGAUGGUGAACUAUGCCUGAAUAGGGUGAAGCCAGGGGAAACUCUGGUGGAGGCUCGUAGCGGUUCUGACGUGCAAAUCGAUCGUCAAAUUUGGG